rnacentral:rRNA from 1 species
GAUGAACGCUAGCUACAGGCUUAACACAUGCAAGUCGAGGGGAAACGACAUCGAAAGCUUGCUUUUGAUGGGCGUCGACCGGCGCACGGGUGAGUAACGCGUAUCCAACCUGCCCACCACUUGGGGAUAACCUUGCGAAAGUAAGACUAAUACCCAAUGAUAUCCCACGAAGACAUCUGAAUGGGAUUAAAGAUUUAUCGGUGAUGGAUGGGGAUGCGUCUGAUUAGCUUGUUGGCGGGGUAACGGCCCACCAAGGCAACGAUCAGUAGGGGUUCUGAGAGGAAGGUCCCCCACAUUGGAACUGAGACACGGUCCAAACUCCUACGGGAGGCAGCAGUGAGGAAUAUUGGUCAAUGGGCGAGAGCCUGUACCAGCCAAGUAGCGUGCAGGAAGACGGCCCUAUGGGUUGUAAACUGCUUUUAUAAGGGAAUAAAGUGGGUCACGUGUGACUUUUUGCAUGUACCUUAUGAAUAAGGACCGGCUAAUUCCGUG